rnacentral:rRNA from 1 species
UACGGGGGGGGCAAGCGUUGUUCGGAAUUACUGGGCGUAAAGGGCUCGUAGGCGGCCAACUAAGUCAUACGUGAAAUCCCCAGGCUUAACCUGGGAACUGCGUCGGAUACUGGAUGGCUUGAAUUCGGGAGAGGGAUGCAGAAUUCCAGGUGUAGCGGUGAAAUGCGUAGAUAUCUGGAGGAAAUACCGGUGGCGAAGGCGGCAUCCUGGACCGACAUUGACGCUGAGGAGCGAAAGCUGAGGGGAGCAAACAGGG